AACAUAGAAAAAUCAUCAAUCCCGUCUUCCACGUCGAGAAGUUAAAGCAUAUGCUGCCGGCAUUUUAUAUGAGUUGUAGUGAAAUGCUAAGCAAAUGGGAGGAAAUUGUUCCAACGGGAACAUCAUUCGAACUCGAUGUUUGGCCAGACCUUCAAAUAAUGACUAGUGAAGUCAUAUCUCGUACAGCAUUUGGGAGUAGCUAUGAA
rnacentral:misc_RNA from 1 species